rnacentral:tRNA from 1 species
GCCCGAAUGCUGAAAUUGGUAGACAGACCGCACUCAAAAUGCGGCGUCGAAAGACGUGUGGGUUCGAGUCCCACUUUGGGCACCA